rnacentral:tRNA from 1 species
UUCCGCAGUAGCUCAGUGGUAGAGCUAUCGGCUGUUAACCGAUCGGUCGUAGGUUCGAAUCCUACCUGCGGAGCCAU